UAAGGUAGCAUAAUAUAUCGCUUCUUAAUUAGUGGCUUGUGAAUGGUUUAAUGAAAUAGAAUAUUUAAAUGAUGACUAUAUCUGAAAUUGAUUUAGUGGUGCGGAAUCCAUUGUUAUAAUAUAAGACGGAAAGACCCCGAGAUCUUGAAUUAAUUUUCUAAUUUUGUUUGGGGUAAAUGUAUAUAUUUCAUUUAUUUUUAGAUCCUACAUAUUGAUGGAUAUAGGUUAAAGUUACCUCGGGGAUAACUGAGUAAAGAGUUGUGAGAGGUCUUAUUGAUCAACUUGUUACUACCUCGAUGUUGGCUUAAAGAACCUUUAUGGUGUAGCAGCUAUAUAAGGUGGUCUGUUCGACCAUUAAAUCUUUAUGAGUUGAGUUAAGACCGGUGUAAGC
rnacentral:rRNA from 1 species